rnacentral:rRNA from 1 species
AACGAACGCUGGCGGCAUGCCUAACACAUGCAAGUCGAACGGGAUCCGGGGCUUCGGCCCCGGUGAGAGUGGCGGACGGGUGAGUAACGCGUGGGAACCUGCCCAGUGGUGGGGAAUAAC